rnacentral:lncRNA from 1 species
UGGAAAUGAGGGGAUAGGACUGAAUUUCUGAAAAAUCAUCUAAUCUAUCACAGAAGAUAUCAAGAGUGUGUCCGGGGCUCAUGUAUUCUAGAUGAUUUAUUGAAAGGCACUCUUCUCCUGGCAGAAAUCCAGGCUAGCUUGUUGGAGGGUGGCAACCGUGUGCAGCAGAGCCAAGUCGACCAGGAAGAGGCUGUCCUAGAGCAGCCAGACCCUAGCUCACCUGC